UCUAUUUAUUUUAUAUAUUUUUUGAAUAUGCGUAUAUGAUAUAGAUAUUUGACUUUUAAAAAUAAAAGAUAGGGCUAGAAGAGUAAAAAGAAAAAAAAAUAGAAAAAAAACAUAAACGAAAAAUAAAAAUUUGAAAAAGAAAGAAGUGAAAAAGGAAAAAAAAAAAAGAAGAAAGAGAAAUAGAAGUGUAAAAAUAAAAGCGA
rnacentral:lncRNA from 1 species